UACGUAGGGGGCGAGCGUUGUCCGGACUUAUUGGGCGUAAAGAGCUCGUAGGCGGUUUGGUAAGUUGGAUGUGAAAUCUCCAGGCUCAACUUGGAGGGGUCAUUCGAUACUGCCAUGACUAGAGUUCGGUAGGGGAGUGUGGAAUUCCUGGUGGAGCGGUGAAAUGCGCAGAUAUCAGGAGGAACACCCGUAGCGAAGGCGGCACUCUGGGCCGGAACUGACGCUGAGGAGCGAAAGCGUGGGGAGCGAACAGG
rnacentral:rRNA from 1 species